rnacentral:lncRNA from 1 species
AGUUGCUACAAAUUAAGGAUCAUCUGCUUUUAUUUAAUAACAUUGAAAAGUUGUGGAAGAGAGGAUGUCUUCGUAGAGUUACAAAAUGAUGAUGAAGAGCCGAGAUGUUACUGGUAUAUUUGAGGUGCAGGGAUUCACCCUCCUGUGAGACGGACUCAGGUCCUUCAUAAAGUACCAGAUGACAACCAAACCCACCCUGCAACCACUCCAACAGCUCCCCAGCUGCACACAGUGCCAGCCCCCAGAUGCUGACCCGAGACUAAGGGAGGUCCUUAAGAUGAGGAAAAUAAGGCUCAGACUGCAACGAAGAGGAAAGCGACCUUUUGGCGGCCAGAGCAGGAUGGCACCCCAGCUGGCUUUGGUGUGCUCUGUCCUGUGAAACAUACACGAUGUUACAGGGCCACUCUGACAAUGAUGGGUGACAACAAAAACAACUUUGUCUAAAAGCCCACAUUGACCAGACAGCUCAUCGAAGGGAUGGCUGCUGCUUUAGCAAUGGCAGAGUGGCUUAAGGAGAGGCACUCAGAGACAACAGGAAAGGUCUAAGGCCCUUGCUCCCACCCGCUCCCUGGCAGAGCCUCGUGAGGUCAUCGGCUUUGGCUCACAGCUGGACAGAAGGGGCCAGGGGUCUGGUGUCUUUUGUCUUUUCCCUUCUGUUCAGCCAACCUGCUCCUCCUCCAGUGCCUGAGAAUCGUUUUGGAGUCACAGAAAAGUUGCAGAGGUGAUAAGAGUUCUGUGGACCCAACACCCAGCUUCCCCCUAUUACCAUCAUCUCACACUGCGCACAGCUAAUGAACGGUCCACGUGGGCAGUAAGUUCUCACUAACUAAAACCCCUAUGUUAUACAGACUUCCUUAGUUUUUCCCUUCCCCUCCUUCCUCCCUCUUUCUUCUUUUAUUCUCCUCCUCCUCCUCCUCCUGCUUCUUCUUCUCCUUCUUCCCUUUCUCCUUCCCCCCCCCCUUCUCUUCCUUCUCCUCCUUCUCCUCCUUUUCUUCCCUCUUGAUGCCCUUCUUCUGCUCUAGGAUCCCUUCCAGGACA